rnacentral:rRNA from 1 species
GACGAACGCUGGCGGCGUGCUUAACACAUGCAAGUCGAACGGAAAGGCCCUGCUUGCAGGGUACUCGAGUGGCGAACGGGUGAGUAACACGUGGGUGAUCUGCCCUGCACUUCGGGAUAAGCCUGGGAAACUGGGUCUAAUACCGGAUAGGAGCCAUUUUUCGUGUGAUGGUUGGAAAGUUUUUUCGGUGUAGGAUGAGCUCGCGGCCUAUCAGCUUGUUGGUGGGGUAAUGGCCUACCAAGGCGGGGACGGGUCGCCGGCCAGAGAGGGUGGACGGCCACAUUGGGACUGGGAUACGGCCCAGACUCCUACGGGGGGCCGCAGUGGGGAAUAUUGCACAAUGGGGGCCAGCCUGAUGCAGUGACGCCGCGUGGGGGAGGACGGCCUUCGGGUUGGAAACUCCUUUCGCUAUGGACGAAGCUUUUUGUGACGGUACCUAGAGAAGAAGCACCGGCUAACUACGUG